rnacentral:rRNA from 1 species
GACGAACGCUGGCGGCGUGCUUAACACAUGCAAGUCGAGCGGUAAGGCCCUUUCGGGGGUACACGAGCGGCGAACGGGUGAGUAACACGCGGGUGACCUGCCCUCAGCUCUGGGAUAAGCCUGGGAAACUGGGUCUAAUACUGGAUAUGACUCCACGGUGCAUGUCGUGGGGUGGAAAGCCUUGUGCGGCUGAGGAUGGGCCCGCGGCCUAUCAGCUUGUUGGUGGGGUGAGGCCUACCAAGGCGACGACGGGUAGCCGGCCUGAGAGGCGACCGGCCACACUGGGACUGAGACACGGCCCAGACUCCUACGGGAGGCAGCAGUGGGGAAUCUUGCGCAAUGGGCGAAAGCCUGACGCAGCGACGCCGCGUGAGGGAUGACGGCCU